UUUUUUUCCAGGCAGAAAGUGCUACUGCCGCUCUCAACUGUAGCGGUGUGGUACUGGGAUCCUUGCCAAUAAGGGUGAGCCCGUCCAAGAUGCUAGUGCGUCCCCGUGCCCCUCGCCAGCUGAUGUCGUCCUAGGUAUACAUACAGGAGGUGCUGACGAUGGCACUGCUCAUAUAUAAGUAAUAGAGAUAGACAUGUAUGAAAAGGGUCUUUUGUUUUCAAGUUGUGGGCUCGACCUUUGUUUUCUCUCUCUCCUUGAUUCACCGUUGGUCGAGGCUGUUUUUUUACCUUGCACAUAGAGGAGAGCUUCAGGUUGUCUGAUGCUUUAGGUUGGUCUUUUUUUUCUGUAGGCUCUGAAGCCAUCUUCUGGACCUCACAAGUCCAGGGAGUGCCUGCCUCUGAUCCUCAUCAUCAGGAACAUGCUCAAGUAGGCAUUGACGUACCGUGAGGUCAUUUCUAUCCUGAUGCAACGCCAUGUACUCGUUGAUGGCAAGGUCAGGACUGACAAGACCUACCCUGCUGGGUUGAUGGGUAUGCCGAUAUCUCUAUUAAUGCAUAAAGAUACCUAUACACAUAUCUUGGUAGCUGUGUGAGGUUGCUGUUUUUCGUUAGUAGAUCUAUGUACCUUAUCCUUGCUAUACUGUCCAUAUAUGUUGUGUGCAUGAAAGUCUUGCAUUGAAAAUGUCAUGUGCUACAACCGUUAGGACUAUUAAUAGAUGUUGCUCUUUCUAUCUAUCCAUUUACAUCGCUGGAAAUUCCCAUGCCCUUUCAUAGUACGCCUGUGAAAUGCUCACUGCUUUUCUAUUGGUUUGUGUGUAGUUCAAGCUCUACAAGGUGAGGUUUUGUUCAGUUUGGCCAGAAAGGCAUCUCCUACAUGAACACCUAUUUGUUGUACAGGAAAACAUAGAAUGGAAUUCAAAUUUGGUGGCCGCAAAAGUGUGGAGACUUAAAUUCAUAUAAAGUUAGGCUUAACAUCAGUGCAAACAGUUGUAUUUUAGUUUAGAUUUAGAGUACACUUAUGUAUGCGUUGUUUGAUAAUGCUUAUUUAUGAUA